GGGGAUGUAGCUCAAUUGGUAGAGCACUAAGUAUUUCAUGCUAGAGGCACAGUGUUGAAUUCCUCUCAUCUCCA
rnacentral:tRNA from 1 species